UAUGUUUAAUGUAUUUCGGAUAUAAUGACAACAGUCUAAGAUAGAUAGAUAGAUAGUAUAAAAUAAUUUAAAACAUUACAACCCACGGGUUGAUUUGCGACUUAAUUCUAAGUCAUUAAUACUGAUUGAUACUUUUCUAUUCAAGUCGUAAACAUUCAGUUUGGUUAUUUAACAAAUGUAUGCCAACUUAAUUGUUUUUCUAUACUGAGCUUAUCUACUACAUAAACCAAACUGGCUUAGUCGGACCAGAGCCCCCCUUAAAUUCAAGUUUCCUUCUGAUUCACGUAGUCAUCGUGUACUUCAUUUACAUGGCUAUAGAAGUGUUCAUCAUUUUCUUCCUUCCCAGUCCUUUUGAGAGCUGUAUAAGUCGACUCUUCAUUUUCCACUUGUUCAUAAUUCGCAUCAUCUUGGAUUUUGUCAGAAUUUUCAUGACUAUCUUUUGAAUUAUUUCUGUCCCUGCUCUUGUUCUCCAGAUUUGCCUUUGAUGAUUUGAGCCGACGAUUUUGAUAAAUGAAAUAAGCAAUAUUAAUCACGACUGAAAUGACCAGUAGAAUUGCUAACACUGUAAUUCCAGCAAGAUAUUUUUCGGAACUGUCGUCAUUUCCAUCUUUGCCUG
rnacentral:lncRNA from 1 species